rnacentral:pre_miRNA from 2 species
UGCCCUAUACCCCAGUCACUGAGUGAUCAUUACUAUCAGUGACAAAGGUAUAGAGGUAGU